rnacentral:rRNA from 1 species
GAUCAUGGCUCAGAUUGAACGCUGGCGGCAUGCUUUACACAUGCAAGUCGAGCGGCAGCGCGGGGGCAACCCGUGGCGGCGAGCGGCGAACGGGUGAGUAAUGCAUCGGAACGUACCCUGGAGUGGGGGAUAACGCCGCGAAAGCGGCGCUAAUACCGCAUAUGCUCUGAGGAGGAAAGUGGGGGACCGCAAGGCCUCACGCUCUGGGAGCGGCCGAUGUCCGAUUAGCUAGUUGGUGGGGUAAAGGCUUACCAAGGCGACGAUCGGUAGCUGGUCUGAGAGGAUGAUCAGCCACACUGGGACUGAGACACGGCCCAGACUCCUACGGGAGGCAGCAGUGGGGAAUUUUGGACAAUGGGGGCAACCCUGAUCCAGCCAUGCCGCGUGAGUGAAGAAGGCCUUCGGGUUGUAGAGCUCUUUUGGUCGGGAAGAAAGCGCCUUGCCUAAUACGCGAGGUGAUUGAUGGUACCGGCAGAAUAAGCACCGGCUAACUACGUG